rnacentral:rRNA from 1 species
GCGUCUUCGGCGUCCGCAUUGUAAUCUCAAGAAGUGUUUUCCGUUUCGGACCAUGCCUAAGUCUCUUGGAAAAGAGCAUCAUAGAGGGUGAUAAUCCCGUACAUGGCAUGGAGCGCCCGAGACUUUGUGAUACGCUUUCUAAGAGUCGAGUUGUUUGGGAAUGCAGCUCAAAAUGGGUGGUAAAUGCCAUCUAAGGCUAAAUAUUGGGGAGAGACCGAUAGCGAACAAGUACAGUGAUGGAAAGAUGAAAAGAACUUUGAAAAGAGAGUUAAACAGUACGUGAAAUUGCCAAAAGGGAAGGGUAGGAGGUCAGAGAUGCGUUCUGGGAUUCAGCCUUGCUUUUGCUUGGUGUUUUUCCCAGAUUGCAGGCCAACGUCGGUUUUGGGCGCUGGAGAAGGGUGGAAGGAAUGUGGCACCUCUCGGGGUGUGUUAUAGCCUUCUACUGGAUACAGUGACCGAGACCGAGGACAGCAGCGUACUCGCAAGAGCGGGCCUUCGGGCACCUUUACGCUUAGGGCGUUGGCAUAAUGGCCCUCUACCACC